rnacentral:lncRNA from 1 species
GAACGAAGAGCGGGCGUGGUGGGCGCCUGCUAGCUCCGGCUCGCGGUGUUAGGCCUUGGGGACAUCGCUCGGGGACAGGAGAGCCCCGGGCCCCCGCCGCCCCGAGCCGUGGCCGGGAAGGGGAACACAGUCCAUGCGUGCGGCGCCCGACAGCCUCUCCCCGCACGCCCGAGCCCCAGUGCAGGCGGCGGCCCGGCCCCUUUGUGCCUGGAGUGUCACGCGCGGGCGCUCCUGCCGCCGCGCCUGGGAGAGGCCUCCGGCACCCCGGGCCCCUUUCCAAGCACAACAGCAGCCCUGCCGCGGCCCCGCGCUGACCCACUUUCCCUCCUGCCUCCUCAGCCCGAGGCCGAGAAUCCAGCGGCCGCCGCCAAGCAGAUCUGUGGCUGGGCAGCAGCUGCUGAGCUCAACUACAAUUCCAGCCUGCUUUACAGUUAGGCUUGUCCACAGGACCAAGUUCUCAGUGACAGAGUAAGAGCAGGCCUGUGAUAGGAGCCUCUUCUGUACCUCGGCCUCCAAGCUGCCUAGAAUCUGGCUGUGGCAGUGCCCAAGGGGAGGCGAGCAGCAGGAGAGAAGGGUCCUGGGGUUUGGGGGGACCAGGAGGAGCAGAGCUGCUGCUCAGCUCAGAUCCAUAACCUGAGAAAGAAAGAGGGAUGGCACAUUUUAUGUGUUAACUUAAAUAUCUGGCUACAUCGCUCAGAUAUUUGAUUAGACACUAUUCUAGAUGUUUUUAUGAAGGUAUUGAUUAAUUGAUUGAUUGAUUGAGACAGUCUCACUCUGUUGCCCAGGCUGGAGUGCGGUGGCACAAUCUUGGCUCACUGCAACCUCCACCUCCCAGGUUCAAGUGAUUCUCGUGCCUCAGCCUCCCAAGUAGCUGGGAUUACAGGCAUGUGCCACCAUGCCUGGCUAAUUUUUGUAUUUUUAGUAGAGAUGGGGUUUCACCAUGUUGGCCAGGCUGGUCUCCUGACCUGAAGUGAUCUGCCCACCUUGGCUUCCCAAAGUGCUGGGAUUACAGGCCUGAGCUACCACAACCGGUGAAAGUACUUUUUAAGAUAAGAUUAGCAUUUAAAUCAGAAGAUUUUGAGUAAAGCAGAUUAUUCUCCACAAUGUGGGCAGAUCUCAUCCCAUCAGUUGAAGACCUUAAGAGAAAAGAGACUGACCUGCUCUGAGCAAGGAGGAAUUCUGCUGGCCAACUGCUUGUGAACUCCAACUUGUAAUAUCGGUCUCCAGCCUACCGGCUUACUCUGCAGAUUUUGGAUUUGCCAAGCCUCCACAACCGCAGAAGCCAAUUCCUUAAAAUGAAUCCCUUACAACAGUUCCCUAAAAUAAAUUCUUCAAAAUUCCUUAAAAUAAAUGUGUGUGCAUGUGUGUCUGUGUAUAUAUAUAGCCUAUGUAAUGUCUAAUAUAGAUCUAUAAUAUAUAUUAGAUAAAUAUACACAUACUUAUCAUAUAUAUAUGUGUGUGUGUGUGUGUGUUUCUCCUAUUGGUUCUGUUCUCUGGAGAACCUAAUACAGAAACAAAUCUGUUUAUUCUUCUAGCCUCUGUAUCAUCAGGCCUCUUUGUUAGAGCAGGUGAGCUUUACCCUAACUAAUUCAGAGGUUGAUUCGUUUUCAUGCAUGUAGAUACUUGUCAUUUAGCUUCUAUUAUCUGCCUGUAUUUUAAGGUUCUUUGUCUUAAAAUGUUAUGACUCCAGGAAUGUUAUAUAUUAAGUAUAUUAACCUUUUGACUAUUAUAUAUCUUGCAAACAUCUUGUAAUCAGUCACUUGUCUCUUUAUUUUAUUUGGAGCGGCUUUCAACCUAGAGCAGUGGUCCCCAAACCCGGGGCUGCAGACUAUUCCCUGUCUGUGGUUUGUUAAGAACCAGGCUACAUAGCAGAAGAUGAGUAGCAGGCGCGGGAGCAUGACCACCUGAGCUCCGCCUCCUGUCAGACCAGCAGCGACAUUAGAUUCUCAUAGGAGCACAAACCCUACUGUGAACUGUGCGUAUGAGGGAUCUAGGUUGCACAUUCCUUAAAAGACUCUUAAUGCCUGAUGAUCUGAGGUGGAACAGGUUCACCCUGAAACCAUCCCCCGCUCAGCCUGUGUCUGUGGAAAAAUUGUCUUCCAUGAAACUGGUCCCUGGUGCCAAAAAGGCUGGGGACUGCUGACCUACAAGAUAUAUUAGUUAUGACUCUUGGUGCAUACUCUUGACAGAAAUCCCACUCAACCUAGUAUAAUGCAGAGGACAGUUCACGGAGCAACUCAAAUAAUUGCCACUUUUACAAUAUUGAAGCUUCCUACGGGAAACAUAAUACAUCUCUCAAUUUAUGUCCUUUAAUACGAUUAAACAUUUUUCUUCAUGUAGGUUCUCCAGAAUUUUGGUUAUGCCUAUGCCUAGAUUAUUUAUGAUUGUUGUUGGUAUUGCAAAUGUCCUCUCCUAUUGAUUAUUUAAUGGUAUCUAUGGAAAGUAUUGAUUUUUGUGUAUUUGCUCUGUGCCCACUUGCCAUCUAACUGGUUGUUAUAUUUUAUUGAACCUUUCAAAGGAUAUGAAUUAUGCUGAUUUUAAUGUCUUCUUCUGAUUCCUGCAUUAUUAUCCUGUUUUCUCCAGCGUUCUGUCUACUUCUUCUGCAGGCUGUUGGUUUCCUUCAAAUGUCUGGGGAUUUUUGAUUGUCUGAUCCCAUUUGUAAAUGAACGUCCAGAGAGUGGUUUUCAAAGUGAGAUCCAUGGACCCCUAAGGGUUCUUAAGACUCUUUCUGGGUGUCUGCAAAGCCAAAACUAUUUAAUAGGAAUAAAAAAGACUUGUUUUUCCUAAUGGGUGUUCAGGUGCUCACUUCAGCAGCACAUAUACAAAUGGGUGUUCAGUGGAGUUUUCCAGAGUCUACAUGAUGUGUGUUAUCACUAUAGCUUGAAAGAAGGAGGUAUGAAAAUCCAGCUGUUGGCUGGGCAUGGCGGCUCCUGCC